rnacentral:rRNA from 1 species
AGCGAACGCUGGCGGCAGGCCUAACACAUGCAAGUCGAACGAACUCUUCGGAGUUAGUGGCGGACGGGUGAGUAACACGUGGGAACGUGCCUUUAGGUUCGGAAUAACUCAGGGAAACUUGUGCUAAUACCGAAUGUGCCCUUCGGGGGAAAGAUUUAUCGCCUUUAGAGGGGCCCGCGUCUGAUUAGCUAGUUGGUGAGGUAAAGGCUCACCAAGGCGACGAUCAGUAGCUGGUCUGAGAGGAGGAUCAGCCACAUUGGGACGGAGACACGGGCCAAACUCCUACGGGAGGCAGCAGUGGGGAGUCUUGCGGAAUGGGCGAAAGCCUGACGCAGCCAUGCCGCGGGAAUGAUGAAGGUCUUAGGAUUGUAAAAUUCUUUCACCGGGGACGAUAAUGACGGUACCCGGAGAAGAAGCCCCGGCUAACUUCGUGCCAGCCGCCGCCGUAA